UAUUUCAUUGUUUUAUUAGGAAAGUUGUAUUCGACAUAGUUGUGUAGUAUAAGUAAUUUGUGUUUGACGAAGUCAAAUACCACAUAUGUAAGCAAGAAUUCGACAGAGUCGAAUACUGCAGCGGGUGAAUUGUAUAGUAUUUGCUUAUAUAUAUAGGUAGUGUUGUAAACCAAAGUGAGAAACUUCAUAAUCAAAUUCUCUAUUUGCAAUAUAAUUUCUCUCUCUCUCUCUCU
rnacentral:lncRNA from 1 species